AUAUACAUACAGUACAGAUAUCGAGGAAUAUGCAAAUUUCUGCGAGUAUCGAGUAAUCUCAAAAAGCGUGACUCCGAGUGGAUUAUAAAUUUCUCGGGUGAAAAAGAGUGACUCCGAGACAAAAACGAGUGACAAUUUUGUCCGCGGGACUCCGUGAAUCUCCGAGUCAAAAAGAGUGACUCCGAGAAAAUAAGACUGAUUUGAACAAUAUAGAACAGAGUUAAGAAGUUCGAUCUGCUAGGCAAUUCUACCGAUGUUGGCAGCACAAGAAAGGACAACAUUAAGGAAUUCAUUUAUGAAAUUCUACCGAUGUUUGCAGGGGGAAAACAACAGGUGUUGCGUCGUCUCAAAAAUAAAACCAUGAAUUAUAAAACAAGAACAUUGAGAUUGGCAGUGAUUUUUUAAAGGCAUGGCGGUCUUUUUCAAUCCACAUACGUACAUGUACAACGCAUGCCCGCUUGCUGUGACGAUCAAAUAUGUUCAUAUGCUAUUAUAAAAAUAUUGUUUUAUCGUCUAUGAACAGUACAUGUACGUGAAAUCGGAAGUAGUUUAAUCUUUGUCAAAACUGUUUUUUUAUUUUUAUAAAAUGACAUGAUAUAGAUGAUGUACAAACCAUAAACAAAUAAAACAAAAAGACAAAUAAAAUGAUCAUUUUA